rnacentral:rRNA from 1 species
UACGUAGGGGGCGAGCGUUGUCCGGAUUUAUUGGGCGUAAAACGCUUGUAGGUGGCUACGUCAAGUCGGACGUGAAAUCUCCCGGCUUAACUGGGAGGGGUCGCUCGAUACUGGCGAGCUCGAGGCAGGUAGGGGGAAGCGGAAUUCCCGGUGUAGUGGUGAAAUGCGUAGAGAUCGGGAGGAACACCUGUGGCGAAGGCGGCCGACUGGGCCGACCCUGACGCUGAGGCGCGAAGGCGUGGGGAGCGAACGGG